rnacentral:lncRNA from 1 species
CGUGGAAACGAGUUUUUGUGAAGAUGAUCGAUCUGGCUGGUGAAGAAGCUCUGCUGCGGUCCAACAGGCCCUGAAACGAAAGGCUUCGAUUCGUAAACAGCCAGCUCCAAUUGGGUUCUCCUUCAAGACCUCCAUUCUCGGUCCCGGCAACUGAAUCUUCCGAACCUAACACAAGAGAAUCGAACCAAUCUUCGCAUCAGAAUUGGAAUCUACUCUAAUCGUCGAUCCAAUCGGUGUUGGAGCUAGGGUUAGGGUUUUCGCGAAAUUGCGCCUAAAAUCCUUCAAAUUUGAGCGGACAGAGAGAGGGGGCGAGGGCGAGGGCGAGGGUCGAGUGAGAGGUAGAGGGAGGGGAGAGAGGUUGAUGGCGGCGCUCCGAGAGGCCAGUUGGCGGAGUCGGACGAAACCGUGAGCGCAAUGACGGCAGUGGGCCUGAAACCAACUCGGGGGUUUUCCCUAUUGGCGCAGGACAUGUAUUUAUUGCGCACCCGGCUCGAUGUGAACCCUAUAAGCCGAACUCGGGUCGAUAUCAGGGUCGGAUAUGAUGUAGAAUGUGAAUAGGUUCACCCAUAAACCGAAACUCGACCCAUCUAAGGUGUUAAGCCUGGCCCGAUUUUUGAUGGAUCAUUAUUGAAAACAUAGAGGAGUAAAAUUUUUAAAUAUUCUAUUUAUGUUUUUUAACUUUUGGUUUUAAAACCGUUGGUGAGGCUUUUUUGUGUUAAGUAUAAAAAAAUCUUUUACAACAGUUUUAUACAAUCGAAAUACUGUAUAUUAUACAAAAAGUUAUAUUUUGUUUCCGUUUAGUAAUGCUUAAAAGCCAAAAAAAAAUUUAAACUUAUUACCAAAAAAGUCAUUUUUUUUUGGCUUCUUUGCUUUUUUGGUCUUACUUUAAUUAAAAAUAAAUUAAAAAAAAAAGUCAACUCUAAAUAACUUUUUACUUAUAAACUUAAAAAAAUUUAGCCGAAAAAUUGGUACCAAAUGAAGCCUUUUAUGAGUAAUUGUCCUCACCUCCACCAUUGCCACAGUUACAUCUCACCAUGCUUACCUAUACCCCUAAAACUACACCUCACCACCACCACCACCACCACCACCACCAUUAUCCCUCUACUAUAAUAUAUUUUAGGCUAGGAAGAUUUUAAGUUAGGAGGAGUUAAAGUGCAAAAAACAAUUUUUUUAAUAAUAUAUUUAGGGGGUUAAAUUAUAAAAAUUUAAAAAAUUUAAAAAAAUAUAUAAAUUUUCAGUGAGGGGACUAUAGUCUCUCCUAACAAUGGCUUGGAUCCACCCCUAUUCACCAUAUGGGUCAAAGAGGAUGCACUCAUGAUCACUGUUUACAUAUGCAACCAACCAGGCUGGAUUUUCAUCUGAAAUCAUCUCUUCCAAGGCAGUUGGAUUCGUAUGAAGAAAAGCAAGCAAGCCCCCUUCCCCGUGACUUCAAUAUGAAAGAUAUGGAAACCACCACCGAUCAUCUCGAUUAGUGGUGGAGUCAGAAAUUUUAUUUAGGGGCACUAUUUAAAAAAAAAUUGGGGGGGCAUUAUAUUUUUGAGAGGGAGUAAUUGAAAAAAAAAAAUCUUAAGCUUAUUUUUUUUUUCCCCCCACUUUAGGAGGACAGGCUGACCCCUCUGGACCUUAACUGCCUCCGCCACUGAUCGCGGCCCCUAACACCACCGCGUAACCAUCAUUGUCGCCACUACCACCAUAAAUCACCGCUAAUAUCGCUAUCGCAGAGGCAUAAUCACCGCACCAACUUCACACCAACAAUCAGCUCAUAUAUUAUCAUCACUAUCACAACAAACAUCUCUGUAUAUUACUGCUACUACCUUUGCGACAUUCACCAUCACCACUCCUAUCAAUUCACUAUUGUAACCAUUACCUUUACAUAACCAUCAAUUGCCCCCCACGAUUUGAUAUUUUUUUGAUGUAUCCAGUCUUGGGCCCAGUUGGGGGUAGUAGUUUUUUUUCUUCUUUGUUUCUUAAUUUUUGAGUUUUUUUUUUUUUAGUGAAUUUUUUUACCGUUUGAUUAAAAUUUUAUACUUUUGGGGUUUGUCUUGAUGAGAGGAGUCUGAAAAUAUAAAAAAAAAGUUCACUAAAAAACUAUCCAAAAAAAAAUCUAAAAUAAUUUAUAUCAAAUUUUUUUUGUCUUCAGUGAACUUUAUUUCAAAUUAAGUAUAAUUUUUUAUAUUUUCGGACUCUUCUCGUCAAGAGGAAUCAGAAAAUUAUAAAAAAUUGAUCAAACGACAAAAAAGAGUUCACUACAUAAAAAAACUCGAAAAACAAUGACCAAGAAAAUAAAUAAUUAAACAAUCUGGGCCUAAUUCAAUAAACUGUUAUCAAAAUAAGAAAAUAAAAAUAAUCCAAUUUUACAACUACUAUAAUUUCACACUAUAAGGGUCUUUUUGUAUUCUCAACCUACAACAUAUCUAGUUAGUAGUCAUAAUAAUUAGGGUCUUUUUGAUAAAGCUGAAUAUUGAAAACUGAAAAUUAAGUGUUGAAAACUUCGUAUGGUAUUGAAAAUUGACUGCUUAAUUUUUUAAGUUAGAAAGCUUUUUGGAUAAAUAUUUCAGUGUUGAAUUGAAAUAAGUUAUGUGAUGUGUAAACAAAAUUAAAAUUUAAAACUUGUUAUUUAUAAGUUUCUCUUUAGAUCAUUAUUCUGGAGUCAUGAAAUUUAAGGGCAUGUUUGUUUUAAAGAUAAGAAUACUAGAUGAUUAAAUUCUUCAAAUUCCAAUUCUCCAAAACAACCUAUCCUAAAAGUCGGAAAAAAGCCGGGAAAUGAAAAUAACUAAAUAGUAGUGGUGUAGCAUUGGCAAGAUGGUUGUUGCUGGUGAUGGCAAUAAUAAUGGGACGGUUUUUUAAGUAAAAAAGUUGUUUGAUAAAUAUUUAAGUGUUGAAUUAAAUUAAGUUGGGUAAAUUACAUUGACCUUCUCUGAGGUUCCAGGUUAAUACACAAACUACCCUUGACGUUUGAAAAAUUACAAUAAUCUCCCCUGAGGUUUGAAACGUGUAAAAAAAAUUUUUAUUUUGCACUGACUACUCUUGAGGUUUCGGAUUAAUACACAAAGCACUCCCGACGACAAAUCAAUAUCUUUUGUCAAAAAGACAAAAAGAAGUGAAUUUUGUCAAGGGUGUUUUGUGUAUUAACUUAUAACCCUCAGUGGUGUGAUCAAUGUAAAAUGAGAGAAUUUGUUUCAAUUUUUUAAACCCCCUCAGGAGAGGUCAUUGUAAGUUUUCAAACGCUAGGGGUAGUUUGGUGUAUUAACUGGUAUGAUAGUGUAAUUUUACCCAAAUAAGUUAUGUGAUAUGUAUGAAAAAAUAAAAUUAAAACUUAUUAUAUAUAAGUUUUCUCUUUAUAUUAUUAUUCUAAAGUCAUUAAAUUUAAAGUCUACCUAAAUAACGGUGUUGAUAAUAUUACUAAAAGUGUUUGUGUGGUGGUGGUGACAAUAAUGAUUGUGGCGGAGUGGCGGUAGUGUUUAUUGUGAUAGUCAAAAAGGGGGUGUUUAAAUCGUGCAUGGCAAAAGAAUGGUAGUGGUGUUGGUGCAAUGAUAUGGUAGGGAGGUGCUGUUAGAACAAUGCGUGUGUGGCCGGGGGAAUGGAGACGUGGCGAAGGUAUAAGGGUAAUUGUAUUGGUGAUGUGAUGGAGAAGUGCUAGUAGAGGGGGUGAUGGCAUUAGUUGUAAAUGGGGUGCUCAUAUGGUAGUGUUUAUGUGGAUAGUUUGUGGUGGAAGUAAAGGGGUAAUGGGGCUGGUAUGGUAAAGAAGUGGUGGUGGAUGGAUGGAUGGCUAUGGAGGUAGAGGGGUGACGAUGGUGGUCAUCGUGAAGUAGUAGUGGUGGAGGAAAAUGGUGGUGUGGUAGUACGAUGGUGGCUAUGGCGGUGAAGUGAACCUAGAGCUAGGGUAAAAGUGGUGAGGGUGGAUAAAUGGAAGUAUGGCAGCGAUGACUCCAACAAUAACGGUGGUGAUGGUGGUGUUGGUAGCGACGAAGGUGCUUGAAGGGUGAUGGUGGAGUCAAUAGAUGUAGAGGGUGGUAGGAUUGGUGCGAGGGGAUUGGUGCUUGAAGGGUGGUGGCGGUGGUGAUUGUGUGGUGGGUGAGUUUGUUUGUAGCGGCUAUGGUAGUGGUGUAGGGAUCAUAAUGAUGUUUCUCAAUGUAUUUUAAAAUGCUAGUAAGCGGGUCAUUGUUUGCACUUGAAAAAUUAACCUUUCCCAUUAUUAAGAUAAAUAAAAUAGAGAAAAAACUUAGAAGAAACAAUGUUUAAAGAAGAAAGGGAAAGAAAUUGUGGUUAAAUGUGUUAAAAGAAAAAAAACAAAUAAAUUUGAUUUAAUUAAAAUAAUCGAAAAAAUAAAUUCAUCUAGUAUACUGGGAAGGAGCAAUAUGAAUGUCUAGUAGUUGCAAAAAGGCGGUAAAUAUGACAAUCAAAACUUAUUAGGAGUCACUAUAAUUAUAAACGUAAUAUAAAAGUUACAUUGUAUAUAUAUACGAAAAGAUACAUUACUACAUAAUAGAGAACAAAUUAAAAAAUAUAAUAAUUUUAAAAACAAUAUUGUUAUUUUGGGAGAAAUAAGAAAAAAACUGGUGUUUAAAUUUUUUAGAUGUGGGUCCCACUAAAACUGAUCAAAUGGAUAAAAAAUAUACCAAACUUUAAAUAUUUUUGUAGCUAUUGGAUCACAAUUUAAGUGAGCCCCACACCGUUGAGAAGGAAAAAAAUUGAUAAUUUUUUUUUAGAAAAAAAAAUAGACUCAGGUGAAUUUCAGUCAUUGACUUAAUUCAAAUGAUUUUCAACCGUAAAUAGUGAGAGAUGUUUGAAAGAUUUAAAAAUAUUGUGUCUCUUCAACCUGAGUCUCUAUAAUUGCCGUGAUUAUAUAAAAAUUUUAAAAAGAUUAUUUUUUAUACCUACACUAUAACUAUGAUUUAAUCAUGACUAAUGGUUGUAUAAAGGAAGGUACUUCCACAUAUAAGUUCCCUAUUUAAUUAAACGGAAAGACUAUAGUCACCGAAAAUGUUCCGAUAACAGUA